rnacentral:rRNA from 1 species
GAAUCCCGUCUUUGACAUGGACUGCCAGGGCUUUGUGAUGCGCUCUCAAAGAGUCGAGUUGUUUGGGAAUGCAGCUCAAAAUGGGUGGUAAAUUCCAUCUAAAGCUAAAUAUUGGCGAGAGACCGAUAGCGAACAAGUACCGUGAGGGAAAGAUGAAAAGAACUUUGGAAAGAGAGUUAAACAGUACGUGAAAUUGCUGAAAGGGAAACGCUUGAAGUCAGUCGCGUCAUCCAGGGAUCAACCUUGCUUUUGCUUGGUGCACUUUCUGGUUUGAUGGGUCAGCAUCAAUUUUGACCAUUGGAAAAAGGUUAAGGGAAUGUGGCAUCUUUGGAUGUGUUAUAGCCCUUGGUCACAUACAAUGGUUGGGAUUGAGGAACUCAGCAUGCCGCAAGGCCGGGUUUUAAAACCACGUUCGUGCUUAGGAUGCUGGCAAUAUGGCUUUAAUCGACCCGUCUUGAAACACGGACCAAGGAGUCUAACAUGCCUGCGAGUGUUUGGGUGGAAAACCCAUGCGCGCAAUGAAAGUGAAAGUUGAGAUCCCCUCAAGGGGAGCAUCGACGCCCGGACCAGAGCUUCUGUGACGGAUCCGCGGUAGAGCAUGUAUGUUGGGACCCGAAAGAUGGUGAACUAUGCCUGAAUAGGGUGAAGCCAGAGGAAACUCUGGUGGAGGCUCGUAGCGAUUCUGACGUGCAAAUCGAUCGUCAAAUUUGGGUAUAGGGGCGAAAGACUAAUCGAACCAUCUAGUAGCUGGUUCCUGCC